AUGGCUGGCUUGGAAGGUUUUGAGUUCUUCGAGAUCGUAAUUGAGAAAUCUUGCAGUAGGCAGAGGCUGCCUGACAAGUUUGCGAAGAUGCUCGCCGGCCGUGAGCCCCACAAAGUGAAGCUGCGGGAGGCCGGCAGCGGGCUUCACAGGCUGUGGGAAGUGUUGGUGGUGUUUGAUGGUGAAGGCCACAUGUACCUAGGGCCCGGCUGGGAGCAUUUCGGCCGCGCCCAUGAGCUACAGCUCGGGUACUUCCUUGUCUUCCGCUACGACGGCAAUGCCAUGUUCACCGUGAAGAUGUUCGACAACACCAUGUGCCGCAUGUACUACCAGCACGACGACGAUGCCAGCAAUGGGAGCAGCAGCGGGGAUGACGAGGAGCAGAGCGGGGAUGACGACGAGGAGCAGAGCGGGGAUGACGAGGAGCAGAGCGGGGAUGACGUGGAGUAG
rnacentral:rRNA from 1 species